rnacentral:misc_RNA from 1 species
UCCGGUUUAGACCGGCGGUCUCCUUAGAUAUAGCAACUAAGGACAAGGGUUGCGCUCGUUGCGGGACUUAACCCAACACCUCACGGCACGAGCUGACGACAGCCAUGCAGCAUCUGUGCACGCUCCCUUGCGGGUCCCGCAGCUUUCGCUUUGGUACCACGUGCAUGUCAAGCCGAGGUAAGGUUCUGCGCGUUGCAUCGAAUUAAUCCACAUCAUCCACCGCUUGUGCGGGUCCCCGUCAAUUCCUUUGAGUUUUAAUCUUGCGACCGUACUCCCCAGGCGGACAACUUCACGCGUUAGCUGCGGUACUGAGAAAUCGCUUCCCCAACACCUAGUUGUCAUCGUUUAGGGCGUGGACUAC